rnacentral:rRNA from 1 species
UACGUAGGGCGCAAGCGUUAUCCGGAAUUAUUGGGCGUAAAGAGCUCGUAGGCGGUUUGUCGCGUCUGCCGUGAAAGUCCGGGGCUCAACUCCGGAUCUGCGGUGGGUACGGGCAGACUAGAGUGCAGUAGGGGAGACUGGAAUUCCUGGUGUAGCGGUGAAAUGCGCAGAUAUCAGGAGGAACACCGAUGGCGAAGGCAGGUCUCUGGGCCACUACUGACGUGAGAAGCGAAAGCAUGGGGAGCAAACAGG